GCAGGCUGCAACCCGCCUGUAUGAAGUUGGAAUCGCUAGUAAUCGCGGAUCAGCAUGCCGCGGUGAAUACGUUCCCGGGCCUUGUACACACCGCCCGUCACACCAUGAGAGUCGGGAACACCCGAAGUCCGUAGUCUAACUUUCACGAGAGGACGCGGCCGAAGGUGGGGUUCGAUAAUUGGGGGUGAAGUCGUAACAAGGUAGC
rnacentral:rRNA from 1 species